rnacentral:rRNA from 1 species
CGCGGCCUAUCAGCUUGUUGGUGAGGUAACGGCUUACCAAGGCGACGACGGGUAGCUGGUCUGAGGGGAUGGUCAGCCACACUGGAACUGAGACACGGUCCAGACACCUACGGGUGGCAGCAGUCGAGAAUCAUUCGCAAUGGGGGAAACCCUGACGGUGCAACGCCGCGUGGAGGAUGAAGGUCUUCGGAUUGUAAACUCCUGUCAUCAGGGAGUAAGGCUCUGGGUAGUUACUGACCCAGGGAUUGCUAGUACCUGAAGAGGAAGAGACGGCUAACUCUGUGCCAGCAGCCGCGGUAAUACGGAGGUCUCAAGCGUUGUUCGGAUUUACUGGGCGUAAAGCGUGCGUAGGCGGCGAGGUAAGUCAGAUGUGAAAGCUCGGGGCUCAACCCCGAAAAUGCAUCCGAUACUGCCUUGCUAGAGUAAUGGAGGGGGGUCUGGAAUUCACGGUGUAGCAGUGAAAUGCGUAGAUAUCGUGAGGAACACUAGUGGCGAAGGCGAGACCCUGGACAAUUACUGACGCUCAGGCACGAAGGCUAGGGUAGCGAAGCGGAUUAGAUACCCGCGUAGUCCUAGCAGUAAACGGUGCGCGUUUGGUGUGGGAGGAUUCGACCCCUUCCGUGCCGUAGCUAACGCGUUAAACGCCCCGCCUGGGGAGUACGG